rnacentral:rRNA from 1 species
CAGGGAUUGCCCCAGUAACGGCGAGUGAAGCGGCAACAGCUCAAAUUUGAAAUCUGGCCCCCAGGCCCGAGUUGUAAUUUGCAGAGGAUGCUUUUGGUGAGGUCCCUACCGAGUCCCCUGGAAUGGGGCGCCACAGAGGGUGAGAGCCCCGUAUGGUAGGACGCCGAACCUUUGUAAAGCUCCUUCGACGAGUCGAGUAGUUUGGGAAUGCUGCUCUAAACGGGAGGUAAAUUUCUUCUAAAGCUAAAUAUUGGCCAGAGACCGAUAGCGCACAAGUAGAGUGAUCGAAAGAUGAAAAGCACUUUGAAAAGAGGGUUAAAAAGUACGUGAAAUUGUUGAAAGGGAAGCGCUUGUGACCAGACUUGUGCCGGGCGGAUCAUCCAGCGUUCUCGCUGGUGCACUCCGUCCGGCUCAGGCCAGCAUCGGUUUUCGCCGGGGGACAAAGGCUUCGGGAACGUGGCUCCUCUCGAGGAGUGUUAUAGCCCGUUGCGUAAUACCCCGGCGGGGACCGACGACCGCGCUUCGGCAAGGAUGCUGGCGUAAUGGUCAUCAGCGACCCGUCUUGAAACACGGACCGAGGAGUCAAGCAUUAGUGCGAGUGUUUGGGUGUAAAACCCGCACGCGUAAUGAAAGUAAACGUAGGUGAGAGCUUCGGCGCAUCAUCGACCGAUCCUGAUGUUUUCGGAUGGAUUUGAGUAGGAGCAUUAACGCUUGGACCCGAAAGAUGGUGAACUAUACUUGAAUAGGGUGAAGCCAGAGGAAACUCUGGUGGAGGCUCGCAGCGGUUCUGACGUGCAAAUCGAUCGUCAAAUUUGAGUAUAGGGGCGAAAGACUAAUCGAACCAUCUAGUAGCUGGUUUCAGCC